CCUACGGGUGGCAGCAGUGAGGAAUAUUGGUCAAUGGACGAGAGUCUGAACCAGCCAAGUAGCGUGAAGGAUGACUGCCCUAUGGGUUGUAAACUUCUUUUAUAUGGGAAUAAAAUGUUCCACGUGUGGGAUUUUGUAUGUACCAUAUGAAUAAGGAUCGGCUAACUCCGUGCCAGCAGCCGCGGUAAUACGGAGGAUCCGAGCGUUAUCCGGAUUUAUUGGGUUUAAAGGGAGCGUAGGUGGAUUGUUAAGUCAGUUGUGAAAGUUUGCGGCUCAACCGUAAAAUUGCAGUUGAAACUGGCAGUCUUGAGUACAGUAGAGGUGGGCGGAAUUCGUGGUGUAGCGGUGAAAUGCUUAGAUAACACGAAGAACUCCGAUUGCGAAGGCAGUUCACUGGACUGCAACUGACACUGAGGCUCGAAAGUGUGGGUAUCAAACAGGAUUAGAUACCCUUGUAGUC
rnacentral:rRNA from 1 species